rnacentral:rRNA from 1 species
ACUCCUACGGGAGGCAGCAGUGGGGAAUCUUAGACAAUGGGGGAAACCCUGAUCUAGCCAUGCCGCGUGAGUGACGAAGGCCUUAGGGUCGUAAAGCUCUUUCGCUGGGGAAGAUAAUGACUGUACCCAGUAAAGAAACCCCGCGUACUCCGUGCCAGCAGCCGCGGUAAUACGGAGGGGGUUAGCGUUGUUCGGAAUUACUGGGCGUAAAGCGCGCGUAGGCGGACUGGAAAGUUGGGG